GUUCGGGUUCGGACUGUACAGGGAGGUUAGACAAAACAGGUUUAGAGAAUUGAGGUGCUAGGGACAUAGCCGUACGUCUGGUCUUGCUUCUGGUGACUUCUCGGAGUCUUAACCUAUUAUCAAUAUGCAUGACAAACGUAAUAAAUUCGUUAAGACUCUUAGGUAAUUCUUUAGCAGCUAUCACAUCUAGUAUAGUCUCUGAGAGACCCUUUUUGAAUGCUGAGAUUAACCCAUUGUUAGUCCAGUCUACCUCGGAAGCUAAGGUACGGAAUUCAAUAGCAUAUUCCGAGAUAGACCGGUUACCUUGUCU